CUGUGACCUCAGGGCUUGGCCACACUGCCCUGUGCCUGCUGGACCAGGGCUCCUUUAGAGCUACAGAGAGCCACCACAAGGGCGGCCACCAGAUAGGACAGCUGUGCUUCUGAACUGCCAGGGCCUCAGGGCAGAGGCUGUCACUGUGCUCUGGAUUUCCCUGGGGAGACAGACAAAUGAGCUGACACCUUGUGACACCCAGCAUCUGUCCAGGAGGACACAGGCACUCACGCCAAUCAGGAAUCGAACUCAGCACCUUGCACUGGCCAGGCAGGCGCUUGUGUCCUGAACUAUAUUCCCAGACCAGAAUUUUGAAAACCUUGGCUUUUCUGCCAUGACCUUGCAUGCUUCUCAAUACCUAAAGAGUCAUCAUGAGAUGCCUGUGGUGGACAGUCUCUGAGAUGGCCCGCAGGGACUCUGCAUCCCACCACUCCCACAUCCACGCAGCCCCCUCCCUCUGCGUAUGGGUAGGGAUUAGUCAACAGAGUACAGUGAACGAGAUUAGAGAUCUGCUGAGAUGAGAUUACAUAAAAGAGAAAACCUUAAAGGAAAGGACACUGAAGAAGAAAGAAGAUAUGAACAGCAGAGUGAGGAAUGAAAGGGAAAGUCCAUUAUAAUUAGAGUACAGAUCAUUAGAUCAGGGAAGUAAAACAAGCACCCAGUGUUGUAAUGAGAAGGAAUUUUCACCAGAACUUUCUAAGAAGAUCAAUCCCUGAGGAUAACAGAUAAUUUGAUAAGGCAAACACUCUCAUCAUGAGAUGAAAUUUGGAGGCUUCAGUCCAUGGGGCUGGCUCCAUUGCUCUGAGCUGGAGGUGAAGCAAAGCAUCACAGUGGACAAGAAGGUGUGAGGAGGGAAGCUUCUUUCUUCAUGGCAGCCAGGAAGCACAGACAGAGAAAGAGAGACAAAGCCAUGGACAAGAUAUAUUCUUCCGGGUCAUGCCCCCAGUGAUCUUACUCCAAGGAGUCUCAAUCUCCUUCAGUUUCCAUCAUGUCCCAAUGGCCUAUCAAGUUAUGAUCCUAUCAGCUAGUUAAUCCAUUGAUGAGCUCAGAGCCUUCAUGGUCCAAUCACUCCCCAAAAGUCCUGCUUCAGAACAUUGGUGCACCAAGCUGUUAACACAUGAGCCAUUGGAUAACACUGUACAUCCAAGCUGUAUCAGAAUCUAAAGGAGGGAUCUGUGGAUUUAAAUAUGUGCAUAUAUCAGAAGGGCUCUUUUCAUUGCAGAAGGUCUAGUAUUGGCCAGUGCAAUUUCAAAGUCCAGAGGUUGAGCUGACCUCAGGUAUGGUUGGAUCCAGGAAUUUUUUAAAUGACAUCACUGGGUCUCCUUCUUGGUUUACCUUUUGGUUAACCCUGUUGGGUGGGCUGAGGAGUCUGGAAAGAGUGCCCCAGGCUUCAUGAAACUAGAGAAUGAUGCUCAAAAACAGAGACUGCCUUCCCCUCAGUGUCCACAUGUAAAAUCCCGGGAAAGUCUCCUAUGGCCUUUCUUGGGAGCCAUUUUCUCCCUAGGUACCCAGCACUACUUGAAUUGGCAGAAGAUAAUUACCCAGAGGAAAAAGGGGUGUUGUUGUCAGACAAGGAGAAACAAUGUUGGGCAGAUAAUAUGACAUAUGUCUCCAGUAGUGAGUGACAAUAACCAGGGGCUGGGAAGAUUGUUUAAUAUUUAAAGUUAUGCCAACCUAAUUCAAUAACUGGAGACUUCACGCAGCUGUAGAGCGUUUGUCUCGGCAGUGCCUCAUUACUGGAGGCUUGGGUUGUGUAUAUGAAUUGACUUGGGAUGAUGGAGUCUAAUGAAGAGAGUCAGGGGUAGGCUAGGAAAAGAGGUUUCGGAAUGCAAUUCACAGGCUCAGAUUUUUAAGGAAACAUUCAGUGCUUUCUCCUUGCAUGUCAGCAGCUGUUUUCUUCCAGAACACAGAGUGGCUCACGGAGCCCAUAUCCAUUUGAAUAAAGAAUGAACAACCGCUGUAGCAAAGCCACAACUGCCAGAUGCUCUUGGAUGUGACGUGGUUGAAUUUCUACUGCUCCCGAGUCCCCAGGAGAGGACUUGGCUUCUCUGGGGACUCCCGAUAUUUUUGAAAGGGAGAAUUCGGUUCCAAAUGACAGAUAUUUAAUUCCCAAUCACACAGAGAUGGUGCCAUUAUUCCAUUGUGAUAGUCUUAGGUAGUAAAUAAAGAGUUAUGAUUAAUUAAAUUAAGAAUUGUUGUGAAAAAAGUGACAGACAUUUCAACCGAGACCAACAGAGGUAGGAGAGGGCCGUCAUGCUCCCCAGGCUGCCUGCCAAAAAAGAGCCGUGGUGGGGUUUGGUUGGAUACGGGAAGAUGCUGAAUAAUAAGACAAUGAAUAAUUGAUGGGGACUAUGACAAGUUUUCAACUUUGGUAAAAGUUUUUAAAAUUUUAAGUAUCACCACCAUGACAUAUGAGAAAUAUAAUUGCGUUGAAAUUGCUUAUUUUAAGAAAUGA